CAAAAGGCCCACAGCUUCAAAUUCCCAUUGAGAGAAGAGCGGAGCCCAAAAGAGAUCUCCCCUUUCAAAAUCCGUAGAGAUUCACUAGAAACAAGAAGAGAGAGCUUGCCUUACGUUUUGGUGAUGAAAACCAUACGUAAAUUAUAAUGAAUGAGGUCUCGAGAAGGAUCCCUAAGCCAUUGAUGGUAGCCACCGUGAAGUUCUCCCAACCUUUGCUUACCACUGGCAUACCAAACCAAGUAUAUAGAAGGCAAUUCAGCAGAGCAAUGAUGAAUUCAAGAUACAACGAAUGAAAUACAUGGGUGCUGUGUAUAGGAACAAGGAGGCUGCGUUCCCUGCAAAAAAAAUACAAAGAAUUUAUAUUACGAACAAAAAAGUGGGAAGCUUCGUCUCGCAGCGAACCUGUCGGCAUGAAUCGAAACCCAAACGGCCUGAGAGCAUGCUCUCUACAUCUGAAGGAGAAGAAAAGGAAACAAAGACAUGAUUCAGGUGUGAUAAUAGUACAGUAUUCAACACUUUAAGUUAUUGAUCGCUAAUCAUGUUUAUUAAGCGUAAGUUGACACCAACAGAAUACGUUGACAUUUAAUUAAAUGGCCAUGGUAUAAGCAAAGUGUAUUGCUUAAUGAAAAAAAAAAAAAAGUAUCUGGAUGCCAUACCCCUCCACUAAAACAAAUUAGGAUAGCAUCGAAUGAUAAUGUAUAUCAAUAUAUUGAUGCGGAACCUACUACUUUUAGUUUUUUUCUUAGCCCCCUAAUUACCUGCGCCAACUAUUUGUUAAAAUUUCUUCUCAAGUUGGAUAGAAUCGUGACAUAGUUAUGA